rnacentral:misc_RNA from 1 species
GAAAGUGUAAAAUGUCCUCUGAAGUUCCUGUAGCUCACGGAUCUCCUCUGUAUUGCUUCCAGGACCUGUAGGGAAAGCAUCUCUCGGGAGGAUAUUAAAUACGCGGCUAGCAAUAGCAGGGUAAACUUCCUCCAGAAUGUCUUGAACUCCAGUGUUGAAUUUGCAGAUAAGCUGAUUAAGCAAUAGCAAAAAGCCUGCUAGUUCUUUCGGCUCACUUUCGGCUAGCAAUUGCUCCAGUGCCUUUGGUAGAUAUGGAAAUACAGAUGAUCCCAGUAUGUCCACCAUGCGGUGAAUGAAUGAUGUGACCUUGCACCGCAGGGGUUCUAUCUUUGGAUAUAUGAUAAGAAUACGUAGAAGGACAUCCAAUGUCUGUUUGAACAUGAGACCAAUUGCAGGACGACUGGCAGUUACAAGACGCUCGCUAAAACCCUUGCUCAGAGCAUUAAUGGCCAUAAUUAUCUGCUGGAUAUUUGUGAUCUUUGC